AUUAAUUGCGACAAUGCCUAGAGCCUGACGUCACAGUGGAGGUAUACCUUGUUGUGUGACGUAACAACGGUAGCAUUCACUGUAACACUAGGACGGGAACUAUCGUCAAAGUCGUUU
rnacentral:precursor_RNA from 10 species